AGAGUUUGAUCCUGGCUCAGGAUGAACGCUAGCGGCAGGCUUAAUACAUGCAAGUCGAGGGGCAGCACGGGUAGCAAUAUCUGGUGGCGACCGGCGCACGGGUGCGUAACACGUAUGUAACCUACCUUAAACUGGGGAAUAGCCCCUUGAAAAAGGGAUUAAUACCUCAUAACACUGCGAGAAGGCAUCUUUUUGCAGUUAAAGUUCCGACGGUUUAAGAUGGGCAUGCGCGACAUUAGCUAGUUGGUGAGGUAACGGCUCACCAAGGCUGUGAUGUCUAGGGGUUCUGAGAGGAAAAUCCCCCACACUGGUACUGAGACACGGACCAGACUCCUACGGGAGGCAGCAGUAAGGAAUAUUGGUCAAUGGGCGCAAGCCUGAACCAGCCAUGCCGCGUGCAGGAUGACGGCCCUAUGGGUUGUAAACUGCUUUUGUACGGGAAAAAACCCUCCGACGUGUCGGGGGCUGAUGGUACCGUAAGAAUAAGGAUCGGCUAACUCCGUGCCAGCAGCCGCGGUAAUACGGAGGAUCCUAGCGUUAUCCGGAUUUAUUGGGUUUAAAGGGUGCGCAGGCGGAAUAAUAAGUCAGUGGUGAAAUCCUGCAGCUUAACUGCAGAACUGCCAUUGAUACUGUUAUUCUUGAGUAUAUUUGAAGUGGGCGGAGUGUGUCAUGUAGCGGUGAAAUGCUUAGAUAUGACACAGAACACCAAUUGCGAAGGCAGCUCACUAAGCUAUAACUGACGCUCAUGCACGAAAGCGUGGGGAUCAAACAGGAUUAGAUACCCUGGUAG
rnacentral:rRNA from 1 species